rnacentral:lncRNA from 1 species
UGAUACAGUGACCUCAUUAAAACUUUCCUAGUACAACCUCAUGGGACAAACUGCAGGGACGGAAAUAGUAUCAUACAUGUCAUGGACUAACAAGAGAGUCCAAUUCAUGUCACUUUGGACCAUUAUAAUAAAAGAACAAAUCAAAAACGAAAACUAACAUAUAGACCUCUGACGAGAACUGCAACUAUAGGCCAACACAAUAGACCUACAUGAGAGGACCGCACAACAUCCCAACUAUCAAAAGAAGUCUUCUAUGAGCAAAAUCAUAGUUCUUUGACACCCACACAAACUGCAAAGCAUACCAUAGCAGAAAUUAAGAGAGAACACACAGGAGGAACACAUAAACAA